UCGCCCAUAGUAUUAUUAGAUGGCAUCUAUUUGGUAAAUUAAACUAUUUAGUAGGGUAAAAAGAUGGCUAUGCGUUCUAUUAGCUAGAUGGUAAGGUAACGGCUUACCAUGGCGACGAUAGAUAGGGGUCCUGAGAGGGAGAUCCCCCACACUGGUACUGAGACACGGACCAGACUCCUACGGGAGGCAGCAGUGAGGAAUAUUGGACAAUGGGCGAGAGCCUGAUCCAGCCAUGCCGCGUGCAGGAAGACGGUCCUAUGGAUUGUAAACUGCUUUUAUACAGGAAGAAACACUCCCUCGUGAGGGAAUUUGACGGUACUGUAUGAAUAAGCACCGGCUAACUCCGUG
rnacentral:rRNA from 1 species